ACUCAAAUGAAUAGACGGGGACCCGCACAAGCGGUGGAUGAUGUGGUUUAAUUCGAUGCAACGCGAAAAACCUUACCUACCCUUGACAUGUCAAGAAGUUUCUAGAGAUAGAUUCGUGCUCGAAAGAGAACUUGAACACAGGUGCUGCAUGGCUGUCGUCAGCUCGUGUCGUGAGAUGUUGGGUUAAGUCCCGCAACGAGCGCAACCCUUGUCAUUAGUUGCUACGAAAGGGCACUCUAAUGAGACUGCCGGUGACAAACCGGAGGAAGGUGGGGAUGACGUCAAGUCCUCAUGGCCCUUAUGGGUAGGGCUACACACGUCAUACAAUGGCCGGUACAGAGGGUUGCCAACCCGCGAGGGGGAGCUAAUCCCAGAAAACCGGUCGUAGUCCGGAUCGUAGUCUGCAACUCGACUGCGUGAAGUCGGAAUCGCUAGUAAUCGCGGAUCAGCUUGCCGCGGUGAAUACGUUCCCGGGUCUUGCACACACCGCCCGU
rnacentral:rRNA from 1 species